rnacentral:tRNA from 1 species
GCCGAAGUGGCGGAACUGGCAGACGCGCUACGUUCAGGGCGUAGUGCCCCUUGCGGGCGUGUGAGUUCAAAUCUCACCUUCGGCACCA